rnacentral:rRNA from 1 species
UUUUAUUUGAGAGUUUGAUCCUGGCUCAGGAUGAACGCUGGCGGCGUGCCUAACACAUGCAAGUUGGGCGAUUUACUUCGGUAAAGAGCGGCGGACGGGUGAGUAACGCGUGGGUAACCUACCCUGUACACACGGAUAACAUACCGAAAGGUAUGCUAAUACGGGAUAAUAUAUUUGAGAGGCAUCUCUUGAAUAUCAAAGGUGAGCCAGUACAGGAUGGACCCGCGUCUGAUUAGCUAGUUGGUAAGGUAACGGCUUACCAAGGCGACGAUCAGUAGCCGACCUGAGAGGGUGAUCGGCCACAUUGGAACUGAGACA